UACGUAGGGGGCAAGCGUUGUCCGGAUUUACUGGGCGUAAAGCGCGCGUAGGCGGGAGGUGAAGUCCGGUGGGAAAGCCCACGGCUCAACCGUGGAAGAACGCUGGAAACUCACCUUCUUGAGGGCGGCAGAGGGAAGUGGAAUUGCUGGUGUAGCGGUGAAAUGCGUAGAUAUCAGCAGGAACACCCGUGGCGAAGGCGGCUUCCUGGGCCGCCCCUGACGCUGAGGCGCGAAAGCGUGGGAGCGAACGGG
rnacentral:rRNA from 1 species